rnacentral:lncRNA from 10 species
UAGCACUUAUUCCGCUAAGGGGUGAGCCUGCUUCUAACAACUCCCUCAAAAGGCUCUGUAACCCGUCCAAAAGAUGAUGUCAAGUGCUACAAGGACCCAGGUCAGCCCUGCAUCAUAGUUUUGAAAAGACAACAAAGAGGGAACGGUUUUGCAUGGAUGGUCACGGAGAGGGGGAUUAAAAGCACAGAGGUGCGGAGCAUACGUGCUGCUGAGCUUCUCUCUGUGCAAGGUGGAGAUUAGACUCACGGAAACUCUUGCUGCUGUAAACCCGAGGGGACGCGGUUCCUGACUCCUCCACCAGCUGCUGCCCAGCCGGCUCCAGCACAGGCUGCCCAGGCCAUGCUUCCUGGCCGAGGGCCCUCCACGUGGGCGUCAGCCUAGUCCGGGAGAGCUGGCGGCUCCACGAUGGUAAUGUCUAACCCUGCAUCCUUCCUCGGGCGCCACCUGUUUCUUUCUCUGUGACUCUUUUUUGAUUGGGAAGAAAGAUGUUUUGUCAAUGAUUCCUGACUCCAGAGAAUUUUAGGAGGGUCUUCUUUCUUUCCCUCUUCAUCCUGAAAGGGGACUUUGCUUGAAAUUUCCUCAGUAGAAAGAAGUCAGAAAAAUAAUACCUUCACAGUAUAGAACUUUAUCUACUUCAAAGCCCUUUCCCAUACUUUAUCUCCUUCAAUACUACCCUAUGAGGUGGUAGGGCAGGUGUUCUUAAGCCCCAUUUUGCAGAUGAUGACCCUGAGGCUCAGAGAGGUUAAAUGUGUUGCCCAAGCUCACACAGCUGGUAAGUGAAGUCCAGGGUAAGAACUCUGACUCCUGGCCUUGAACUUUUUCAGAUUUUAUCACAAUGAGCAUGUGCUGCUUUCUACAAAGAGAUUUGGAAUAAUAUAGAUGACAAGAUGUAUUUUUCACUUCUUAUUUACUCGUGUGUAUUGCUACUACUGCCUUAUUUUCACAUUCCAAAGUAACUUAUUUAUUAUUCAUCUUCUUGAGAAGUGGGUAAUUAUGUUUUUAUAUGUUUUCUUUUAGAUAACUAUAGCCCUGUUGUGGGUUAUAUGCUACUUAUGUGUCCUUGGGAUCUUUCGAUAGAUAGAUGAUAGAUAGAUAGAUAGAUAGAUAGAUAAACAGAUAGAUGACAAAGAUAUGCAGACAUGUACUUUUUGAUAUUGACAGUAAUGUAUUCAUUUGUAUUUGUUUCCCAAAGAAAUAGUUUUACUUGAUGGUAUUUUGUGUUUUUCUCUAACUCUCAUUCAAAACUUAUGCAAAUUGUUAAUGCCCAAAGAUUUUUGAAGAAAAGAAUUUAGGAGAAAACCUUAACCACGUUACACCCAAUAUCUUCCAAUGAUUUUAAAGUUUCACUAGAGGGCACUCCCACUUCAUGGCCAGAAAGCAGUCAGGACAAAGGACCAUAGUGGUUUGGAUAUUUAACUUGCUGUACAUACUAUUUUGUUUUCUCUUUCUCACUCUCUCUCCUCUUGCCUAUUGUAUAAAAACUAACGGAAAUUAUACAGGUCUUCCUUUAAACAUAUAAAUAGAAAUGAACUACAUUGAAAAACUAGCAAACAUCUACAACUGUGAAUUAUGGUUCACCUUGUGACAUAGAGCAUAUUAUUCAAAAUCUUCUGCAUUGAAGUUUUGGUUGUCAACAUAAAUAAAAGUAUGAAAUAUAGUGUGAGACAUUAGCGUACUACAUUAAGUAAUAUGUCCUUUAUUGAGCAACCUGGGGAAGAAAGCCAAUAACUACCCAGCACUUAUUUCCAGCUUGUAGGAUCAUCAUGGUCAUCUUUUCUGGUAAAUCUUUGGGUAAAUCCAAAUCACAAAGAUGUGUAGGGUCAGAAAAUGAGAAUUAAAGGAAAAUCCAAAUGGAUAAUCAAAUAAUAUUGCUUUAGAAUAAAUUAAACGUUAGGCCCCACUUUUUAAUGUAUAUAUUUUUAUGUAUUAAAGAAUCUGAAGAUUAUUUUAAAUACAUAUUUUAGCAAAACAGUAGAGCAUUUCUUGUGAGAGGAAAAUAAGGUAUUUCAAAGUUAGAAGGGAAGUAGCCAUUUGCCAAGUAUAGAACCCCACAGAGUCCUUAGGCUUGAAGUUUCAAACUGAUUUCAACCCUUUGGGGGUUUGAAUUUCUCUACUGUUGGCAAAACACAACUUCUUGCUUCAAAGAGAAAUGGCAUUAAGAAGGCCUGUUACAGAGAGACUCAAAAGACUUGUUGGACACCAAAUCACUCUUACAAAACACCAUUUUGAUGAGUUUAGUAAAAAUGAAUCACAAACAUAUGGAUUAAGUUUUUCUUUAAAAUUAUAUUGGCUUAUAAAACAAGGGAAAGGGGGCAUGGUAAAAAAAAAAAAAAAAGUUUCAAGCUUUGCAAAACUCCAAAACAUUUGAAAAACGGAUUAAGAUGCUGAUGGACCCAGGGAAGCAACUGGAUUUUCCCUGUGCUAACUUGAACCAUCUUUAUUUGAUUUAAAUUCAUAUCAAAGGCAAAAUAAACAAUAUGACUGUCUGCCAUUAUUAUCCACAAAGGGAAACACACAUUUGCUUCUUAACCAUCCACUUACAUGCUUCGGUGAAAUCGUAGGCGUAUGUGUUUAUUUCACAAUGAUGUAAAACUUAAUUACUCAUAUGACCUAAAAGGUUUCAUAUUAUAUGAAUAGAAUGCAGUGCCUCUAAUGUAGCCUAAGCUGAGGACUCCUUGGGAAACUUAUCCCAAAUAAUUAAUUACUGGAGUUAAAUUCUUUUCUGACAACUCUAGAAGUAAAGUACACCUGAUGUGAAAGACCUACAAUGGCCAUCAUGUGGGGAAAAUUCUCACUCCAAUGGGUGACACCAAAACAACUUUACUACCAAUCACCAAACCAACUAAGAGUGAAUAGGCUUAAAUAAAUCAUGUUUUAAAGGCAUCUAAGGUGAACAACAAAGCAAUCCUAGGCAAUCAGGAAUUGAUGACAGAAAUCACUAAAAAUUGGCAGAUCCUACUGAGUUUUCUCCCCCUAAUCCAAGUAAUCAGAACUGAAGUACAAUGAAAAAGAAAAAAAAAAAAAGAAAUUUGAGAUGCAACUAAUGGAUUUUAUAAGUCAUGAAAUACAAAGUUUCUCCUUUCCGCCAAUGAAUCAAGGGAUAUUAUAUGAUAUUAUAUGAAGUUGCCUUUAUCAUAUAUAUAUAUAUAUACACACACACACAUACAUAUAUACACACAUAUAUAUACACACAUAUAUAUGUGUAUAUAUACACACACAUAUAUAUAUACACACAUAUAUAUAUACACACAUGUACAUUUAAAUAUUUUAACUUUACUCUUAUAAAUGUUAAAUAAUCAUUUGUAGCAAGAGUAGACAAAUUUCAGAAGUUCUAUCUUUAGAUAUAUUUCUAACAAAUGUUACCCUUUUAUAUAACCAAAUAAAAAUGUUUUCCCCAGGAAGUGUGGUGAUGAACAGUUGGUCUAUAAUCAAAAGGUUCUUUCUAUGAAGCAUGUUCAGCUUUCCUUUUAAACAUGAACAUGGAAAAUAAUACCAACUCUACCAAGCGUUGGAUUUAGCCCAUUAUCAUGUGCAAAUGUACCUGCCUAUUAACUUACAGAUUGGGCAGGUAUUUUACUAAGGUGCAGUAUUUCUGUCCUGGGUCAUAGCUUGAGUUAUUCUCCCUUUCAAGGUCCCCAAUGCUUCAUCUGUCACUCUUAUUGUCAAAUGUUCUAUUUUUCCUGUCCCUGCCAGCAGUGAUUUCAAUUUGGGCUUGACUUCAAGACAGGCCACAUUGUAUCUGUGAUGUCAAUGGAAAGGGGAUAAAAGUCAUUAAAGAUAUUUGUUAUUUUGAAAGGUUAAAAGAGUUUUUCUUGGUGGGUAA